rnacentral:rRNA from 1 species
AAUCAACGCUGGCGGCGUGCCUCAGACAUGCAAGUCGAACGAUUAAAGCUCUCUUCGGAGAGUGUAUAGAGUGGCGCACGGGUGAGUAACACGUAAGUAAUCUACCUUUGAGUGGGGAAUAACCCGGGGAAACCCGAGCUAAUACCGCAUAAUGCAGCGGCACCGCGAGGUGACAGUUGUUAAAGGAGCAAUCCGCUUAAAGAGGAGCUUGCGGCAGAUUAGCUAGNGGUAAGGUAAUGGCUUACCAAGGCUUCGACCUGUAUCCGGCCUGAGAGGGCGGUCGGACACACUGACACUGAAUAACGGGUCAGACUCCUACGGGAGGCAGCAGUCGGGAAGUUUUGGGCAAUGGGCGAAAGCCUGACCCAGCAACGCCGCGUGAAGGAUGAAGUA